GACGAACGCUGGCGGCGUGCUUAACACAUGCAAGUCGAACGAUGAUGCUGGAGCUUGCUCCAGUUGAUUAGUGGCAAACGGGUGAGUAACACGUGAGCAAUCUGCCCUUGACUCUGGGAUAACUGCGGGAAGCUGUAGCUAAUACCGGAUACUUUCACCGGAAGGCAUCUUCUGGUGAUGAAAGAAUUUCGGUCAGGGAUGAGCUCGCGGCCUAUCAGCUUGUUGGUGAGGUAACGGCUCACCAAGGCGACGACGGGUAGCCGGCCGGAGAGGGUGACCGGCCACACUGGGACUGAGACACGGCCCAGACUCCUACGGGAGGCAGCAGUGGGGAAUAUUGAACAAUGGGCGCAAGCCUGAUGCAGCAACGCCGCGUGAGGGAUGAAGGCCUUCGGGUUGUAAACCUCUUUUAGCAGGGAAGAAGCGAAAGUGACGGUACCCGCAGAAAAAGCACCGGCUAACUACGUGCCAGCCGCCGCCGUAA
rnacentral:rRNA from 1 species